rnacentral:lncRNA from 1 species
AAAUCUCUGUAUACUUUUCCCCUCCUGCCCCUAGAACCUUGUUUUUUUAGGAAUCAGAACUCAGGCCAUGUUGGGACAACCUUUCUCUUUUGUAUAGUCCUCUCCCUCCUGUAGAUGUCACUGUAAUAUAGUUGGGCGCGGGGAUGCCUCAGUGUACUGCCAGCACGUGCGUGUAUUCCUUCUACUGUCCCAUUGUAGGACUUGUUCUUGUAUCUUCGUCACCUGUGUGAGCAUUUUUCUCUGUGUCUUCUGAGCUUUGACUCUUGUUCUUCUUUAAAAUCUGUGGUUCACUGGAUUCACAGAAUUAAUCCUUUGGAUGUCACCAGACUUCAAAGCAUGAAUUUGUUUAGGGCCCAGAUCCAGAAAAACUCUUCUUAUGGAUCAUUUCUGAGUUAGU